CACGUAGGCACCAAGCGUUGUCCGGAUUUAUUGGGCGUAAAGAGCUCGUAGGCGGUUCAGUAAGUCGGGUGUGAAAACUUUGGGCUUAACCCAAAGCGUGCAUCCGAUACUGCUGUGACUUGAGUUCGGUAGGGGAGUGGGGAAUUCCUAGUGUAGCGGUGAAAUGCGCAGAUAUUAGGAGGAACACCGGUGGCGAAGGCGCCACUCUGGGCCGAAAC
rnacentral:rRNA from 1 species